CGUGUUGCGGGAGGCGAUGACACGCGGUCCACCCCCGGCCGCCGGGACCGUGCGGAGCCACUGGCGAGACCGACCUGCACCGGA
rnacentral:ncRNA from 1 species